UGUGCGUUUGUUUAUUCUAAGAUGACAGCAAGCUUGAGCCUAAAGGCAGCCUGGGAAGCCUGCCUGCGUUAGCCGGUCUUGGUUGGAAGACUCCAGGAUGGGCAAAAGCUACUGCGUGGGAUUGCUGUGAGGGUGUAGGGCCUUCACACACGCUAAUCACUGAGGGCGGUGCUGCCACACACAGGGCAGACACUGUAAAGGGUGAAGAACCAAACCCAUCUGAUACCGAAUAGAUCAGGACAGGCUUCCCGCCCCGGAUGUGAAGGGGGAAUUCUGCUGCCGGGAAGCGGUGUUACUACAUGCUUCCCUUGGCAACUCAGCCGCUGAACACACUCCUUCCUACCUCUCCUGGGUCCCGCUAGACCUGCUGCUCAAGUCUAACAAUACAGUAAGCUGAGAACUUACGUUGUCCUCGUUACCGGGCUUGAUCUCCGCAGUCAUCAUCUCGUCGAAUUCUAGCUGAGGAACCAAUAAAAAUGCAGGAAAAAAAACCCCUUGCUUUAAAGAAACCCAGUUUGUAGAAGCCUCUACUUCUGCAAAAACCACCUAAGGGGUGACUUCAAGAGAUCUAGGCUUUCAUUUGUUACAAAGCAGGUUUCCUCAGCGCCUUGAACAUCGUGCAUGAGACACACGGACUUCCUGGCGGGGACAGGCCCACGGUGAGAGAGGUCCAUCUGCCUCUCCCUCUGACAAGGGAUUUCUUCCGAGAAAGCGCCCCUCCCCAUGAGGUCCCGGAAGACAUGUUGACGACGGCAGGAUUAAGCCAGGCUGACAAUGGGAGGAUUAUUUCCUAACCUGGUGUGUGAC
ensembl:lncRNA